UACAGAGGGGGCAAGCGUUAUUCGGAAUUAUUGGGCGUAAAGGGCGCGUAGGCGGCCUGGCAAGUGGAAGGUGAAAUCCCUCGGCUUAACCGAGGAACUGCUCUCCAAACUGCUUGGCUUGAGUCCGGGAGAGGUGAGUGGAAUUCCCAGUGUAGCGGUGAAAUGCGUAGAUAUUGGGAGGAACACCAGUGGCGAAGGCGGCUCACUGGACCGGAACUGACGCUGAGGCGCGAAAGCGUGGGGAGCAAACGGG
rnacentral:rRNA from 1 species